GACGAACGCUGGCGGCGUGCUUAACACAUGCAAGUCGAACGAAGUGGAGAACGGGUGAGUAACGCGUAAUCAACCUGCCCUUCAGAGGGGGACAACCGUUGGACACGACUGCUCAUACCGCAUACUGAAGGAGGGGAUUGCGUUGGAUUCGCUAGUUGGAGGGGUAACGGCCCACCAAGGCGAUGCUAAGUAGCCGGCCUGAGAGGAGGAACGGCCAAAUUGGGACUGGGAAACGGCCCAGACUCCUACGGGAGGCAGCAGUAGGGAAUCUUCCGCAAUGGAAGGAAGUCUGACGGAGCAACGCCGCGGGAGUGAUGACGGCAUUCGGGUUGUAAAGCUCUGUUAAUCGGGACGCGGUACCGGAAUAGAAAGCCACGGCUAACUACGUGCCAGCAGCCGCGGUAAUAC
rnacentral:rRNA from 1 species